rnacentral:rRNA from 1 species
CGAAUGCUGACAUAAGUAACGAUAAAGCGGGUGAAAAGCCCGCUCGCCGGAAGACCAAGGGUUCCUGUCCAACGUUAAUCGGGGCAGGGUGAGUCGACCCCUAAGGCGAGGCCGAAAGGCGUAGUCGAUGGGAAACAGGUUAAUAUUCCUGUACUUGGUGUUACUGCGAAGGGGGGACGGAGAAGGCUAUGUUGGCCGGGCGACGGUUGUCCCGGUUUAAGCGUGUAGGCUGGUUUUCCAGGCAAAUCCGGAAAAUCAAGGCUGAGGCGUGAUGACGAGGCACUACGGUGCUGAAGCAACAAAUGCCCUGCUUCCAGGAAAAGCCUCUAAGCAUCAGGUAACAUCAAAUCGUACCCCAAACCGACACAGGUGGUCAGGUAGAGAAUACCAAGGCGCUUGAGAGAACUCGGGUGAAGGAACUAGGCAAAAUGGUGCCGUAACUUCGGGAGAAGGCACGCUGAUAUGUAGGUGAAGUCCCUCGCGGAUGGAGCUGAAAUCAGUCGAAGAUACCAGCUGGCUGCAACUGUUUAUUAAAAACACAGCACUGUGCAAACACGAAAGUGGACGUAUACGGUGUGACGCCUGCCCGGUGCCGGAAGGUUAAUUGAUGGGGUCAGCGCAAGCGAAGCUCUUGAUCGAAGCCCCGGUAAACGGCGGCCGUAACUAUAACGGUCCUAAGGUAGCGAAAUUCCUUGUCGGGUAAGUUCCGACCUGCACGAAUGGCGUAAUGAUGGCCAGGCUGUCUCCACCCGAGACUCAGUGAAAUUGAACUCGCUGUGAAGAUGCAGUGUACCCGCGGCAAGACGGAAAGACCCCGUGAACCUUUACUAUAGCUUGACACUGAACAUUGAGCCUUGAUGUGUAGGAUAGGUGGGAGGCUUUGAAGUGUGGACGCCAGUCUGCAUGGAGCCGACCUUGAAAUACCACCCUUUAAUGUUUGAUGUUCUAACGUGGACCCGUGAUCCGGGUUGCGGACAGUGUCUGGUGGGUAGUUUGACUGGGGCGGUCUCCUCCUAAAGAGUAACGGAGGAGCACGAAGGUUGGCUAAUCCUGGUCGGACAUCAGGAGGUUAGUGCAAUGGCAUAAGCCAGCUUGACUGCGAGCGUGACGGCGCGAGCAGGUGCGAAAGCAGGUCAUAGUGAUCCGGUGGUUCUGAAUGGAAGGGCCAUCGCUCAACGGAUAAAAGGUACUCCGGGGAUAACAGGCUGAUACCGCCCAAGAGUUCAUAUCGACGGCGGUGUUUGGCACCUCGAUGUCGGCUCAUCACAUCCUGGGGCUGAAGUAGGUCCCAAGGGUAUGGCUGUUCGCCAUUUAAAGUGGUACGCGAGCUGGGUUUAGAACGUCGUGAGACAGUUCGGUCCCUAUCUGCCGUGGGCGCUGGAGAACUGAGGGGGGCUGCUCCUAGUACGAGAGGACCGGAGUGGACGCAUCACUGGUGUUCGGGUUGUCAUGCCAAUGGCACUGCCCGGUAGCUAAAUGCGGAAGAGAUAAGUGCUGAAAGCAUCUAAGCACGAAACUUGCCCCGAGAUGAGUUCUCCCUGACCCUUUAAGGGUCCUGAAGGAACGUUGAAGACGACGACGUUGAUAGGCCGGGUGUGUAAGCGCAGCGAUGCGUUGAGCUAACCGGUACUAAUGAACCGUGAGG